AUUUCUCAAAUAAAUGGUACAUGGCUAAGGAGGAAGAGAGUGAUAGUCAAUGGUUAGCUAACGUUCUUGUAGUAGAGAGUAAAAGUUUAGGACUCCUUGGGUUUAUAGCCAUGGGGGAAUUAAGAGCGCUGACUUUAUCCCCGAUGCUCAGCAAUGGUUGAAACUUAUUUCUGGGAGGAUUCACCCAUCCAAAAAUAUUACUAACUUGACUUACUAAUGGGCAUUGGUGAUAGCUUGCAUCCUGGAUCAAGUGGAUGGGAAUGUGGGAAAGCAGAUUAUGGAGGAACAGGGAGCCAUUUCCAACAACCUAAAGAACCUAUUCCUUCCUUCUCCAAUUACUUUAUUAUGCCAUCUAGAAAAUAUGCCUAGUGAGGUAAGAGGCUCUACUAUCAGGUGUGAUGCAUCUUUUGACCCACUGAAGGUAAAGGGAGCAUAGGGGCAGGGUAAGAAGAAGAUAAAGAUAUGCAUUGAGGGAACGAAUUGUAGUGCUUAGGAA
rnacentral:lncRNA from 1 species